rnacentral:lncRNA from 1 species
GAAUACAGAACACACGCAACUAGCCAUGACCCAAGUUAGGCCGUUGCCAUUUCACACGAUCCUGCGCCUCUCAACUUUUCAAAGCCCCCUACGCACAAGUAGCACAAUGCACACCCGUAUUCUGUUUUCUCUCGUUCUCUGCAUCAGUCGAUCUUCGGUUCUCGACCACACGUUUCCUUUUUGUUUCCUUCUUCUUUUCCAAAGCUGCUGCCAGCAGCACAGC